rnacentral:rRNA from 1 species
GACGAACGCUGGCGGCGUGCUUAACACAUGCAAGUCGAACGGAAAGGCCCUGCUUUUGUGGGGUGCUCGAGUGGCGAACGGGUGAGUAACACGUGAGUAACCUGCCCUUGACUUUGGGAUAACUUCAGGAAACUGGGGCUAAUACCGGAUAGGAGCUCCUGCUGCAUGGUGGGGGUUGGAAAGUUUCGGCGGUUGGGGAUGGACUCGCGGCUUAUCAGCUUGUUGGUGGGGUAGUGGCUUACCAAGGCUUUGACGGGUAGCCGGCCUGAGAGGGUGACCGGCCACAUUGGGACUGAGAUACGGCCCAGACUCCUACGGGGGGCAGCAGUGGGGAAUAUUGCACAAUGGGCGGAGGCCUGAUGCAGCAACGCCGCGUGCGGGAUGACGGCCUUCGGGUUGUAAACCGCUUUCGCCUGUGACGAAGCGUGAGUGACGGUAAUGGGUAAAGAAGCACCGGCUAACUACGUG